GGGGAUGUAGCUCAGUUGGUAGAGUGCUUGCCUUGCAUGCAUAAGGCCCUGGGUUCAACCCCCAGCACCGCCA
rfam:Ictidomys tridecemlineatus contig019128, whole genome shotgun sequence.